AUAGAUUUGUAACGGCUCCUUUGUUCCAACGUCUAUAUUCAAGUAUUUGAAUAUUUGAAUCAAUUUGUCCACUUCAUAUUCUGCAUUCUAUUUCCUACAGCUUCUGUUCUGAGCCUGUACAGGGGACAGGGUAGAUAGUGUUCUGAAGCGAUCAAGUCACUGAGGAAUUGUUGCUCUGUCUAAUAAGCCCAAGAGCCUCUGGACAAUAUACUUCUAGACUUGAAUACUUUUCAUCUCAAGUACUAUUUCACUGGAUGACCAGAUUGCACUAUUGAAGCACAGGAUCAACUUGUUUUAUUAGGAUUUGGCAUUCGAUGGAAAAUGGUUCGAUCUUGCCAGAUCUCAGGGGAAACAAAUUCAAUUUUCUAUAGAACAAAAGGCAGAAAGAUCACUUGGGAACUUGGCUUGGGCAUAUAUGCAGCAGAUAUGGAGGGGAUGGAUUCCAAUGUUUUAUGUAUGGUGGGAUUCGUUCUGUGUAUUGCAAUAUGCAGUUGGUGGACAAAAAGAGUGACAGAGCAAUUUGCACUUGGUGUUCUGUUUUUUGGCAGCAAUCAAUGCAGGAGACAGUGUUCUAUUUCUGAAAGACAAAGCAAUUGUCAUGAAAUGCUUUUCACCAUUCACGUUUCUACAUGACCAUAAAAUUCACCUUUUUACUGCUAUUUUAAUCUUCA